CACUGUGGAGGAAGAAAGAGAAAAGGAUUUGGCAGAUCAAAGUCAAAAUGCAAAUGAGGGAAAAGAUGAUCCCGAAUUGUUGCCUUUGGGAUGGGUUCUGGAGAUCAAAACUCAAAAUGGUGGAAAAUGCAAUGGAAAGCAGA